UGUUUCCAGUGGCGGACGGGUGAGUAACGCGUAAGAACUUGCCCUUGGGAGGGGGACAACAACUGGAAACGGCUGCUAAUACCCCGUAAGCUGAGGAGCAAAAGGGAGGGAUCGGCCCAAGGAGGGGCUUGCGUCUGAUUAGCUGGUUGGUGAGGCAAUGGCUUACCAAGGCGACGAUCAGUAGCUGGUCUGAGAGGAUGAUCAGCCACACUGGGGCUGAGACACGGCCCAGACUCCGUAGGGAGGCAGCAGUGGGGAAUCUUCCGCAAUGGG
rnacentral:rRNA from 1 species